rnacentral:snRNA from 1 species
GUACUUGCUUCGGCAGUACAUAUACUAAAAUUGGAACGAUACAGAGAAGAUUAGCAUGGCCCCUCGCAAGGAUGACACGCAAAAUCGUGAAGCGUUCCACAUUUUU